rnacentral:rRNA from 1 species
AAGUGGAUUAGUGGCGCACGGGUGAGUAAUGCAUAGAUAACAUGCCCUUUAGUCUAGGAUAGCCACUGGAAACGGUGAUUAAUACUGGAUACUCCUUACGAGGGAAAGAAUUUCGCUAAAGGAUUGGUCUAUGUCCUAUCAGCUUGUUGGUGAGGUAAUGGCUUACCAAGGCUAUGACGGGUAUCCGGCCUGAGAGGGUGAACGGACACACUGGAACUGAGACACGGUCCAGACUCCUACGGGAGGCAGCAGUAGGGAAUAUUGCUCAAUGGGGGAAACCCUGAAGCAGCAACGCCGCGUGGAGGAUGAAGGUUUUCGGAUUGUAAACUCCUUUUGUUAGAGAAGAUAA